UGGGGAAUAUUGGGCAAUGGGCGGCAAGUCUGACCCAGCAACGCCGCGUGAAGGAAGAAGGCUUUCGGGUUGUAAACUUCUUUUGACAGGGAAGAGUAGAAGACGGUACCUGUCGAAUAAGCCACGGCUAACUACGUGCC
rnacentral:rRNA from 1 species